rnacentral:rRNA from 1 species
UACGUAGGGGGCAAGCGUUGUCCGGAAUCAUUGGGCGUAAAGCGCGUGUAGGCGGCCAGGUAAGUCCGUUCUGAAAGCCCGGGGCUCAACCCCGGGAGGCGGAUGGAUACUGCUUGGCUCGAGUCCGGAAGAGGCGAGUGGAAUUCCCGGUGUAGCGGUGAAAUGCGCAGAUAUCGGGAGGAACACCAAUGGCGAAGGCAGCUCGCCUGGGACGGUACUGACGGCUGAGACGCGAAAGCGUGGGGAGCAAACAGGG